rnacentral:rRNA from 1 species
GAUAAACGCUGGCGGCGUGCAUGAGACAUGCAAGUCGAACGGACGGACCGGUUCGCCGGUCCGUUAGUGGCGGACGGCUGAGUAACGCGUAGGUGACCUGCCCCGAAGUGGGGAAUAACUGCCCGAAAGGGUGGCUAAUACCGCAUGUGGUCGCACGUUCGGUCGUGCGAGUAAAGCCGCAAGGCGCUUCGGGAGGGGCCUGCGUCCGAUUAGCUCGUUGGUGGGGUAAUGGCUCACCAAGGCGACGAUCGGUAGGUGGUCUGAGAGGACGAUCACCCAGACUGGGACUGAGACACGGCCCAGACUCCUACGGGAGGCAGCAGUCGGGAAUUUUGCUCAAUGGGCGAAAGCCUGAAGCAGCAACGCCGCGUGAGGGAUGAAGGCCUUCGGGUCGUAAAGCCCUUUUGGUCAGGGACGAUGAUGACGGUACCUGCAGAAUAAGCCCCGGCUAACUUCGUG